AAAUAAGAAGCAAAAUUUGCAUUUAGUUUCGACCUAAAAGUUUGGUGUCUUGACAUCCUUAUUUU
rnacentral:tRNA from 1 species